CUGAAAUGUUAAAGCUUUGGCAUUGCUUGAAGUGGUAGUGCAUUUCUUCUUUGCUCCUGACUAAAAAUAGACUUAUCGUUCAUUCCAGUUACCCUUUAUUGACAUUUGAAAUGAAUAACCAAAAAUUUCAUAUUCACGUUGUAAUGUUUCACAAAGACUUGCAAAAUCAUUUGUGAAGUUUAGAGUGAUGAUGGAGUAGGUGAAUCAACUGUUCAAAGGUGGUUUGCAAAAUUUAAAGCUGGAGAGUUUAGCUUGGAAAAUGAC